UAUAGAGAGCAGACGUUGGAUUCCUCAAUUCGUUUCUAUUCAGCCGUUGUAUAUUCUUCCAAAUUUGAAAAUCCCAUUUGAGAGAGAAAUACCGACUCGGAAGAGAUGAAUCAAUAAAAUCAGAGAGAGAGCUACGAAAGAUUUUGCACAAGGAGAGAUCAGCGGGAACAACGGCUAUGGAAACGAUUUUGCACAAGGAGAGCGUGAAUGCCAGAGCGUGAGUGUCAGCGGGAAGAACGGCUAUGGAAACGAUUUUGCACAACGAUUUUGCCAUACAUGAUCGAAAAUGUUCAGAGCCUGAAAGAUUUUGCACAAGGAGAGAUGUUGCACAACGGGAACAACGGCUAUGGAAACAAGGUGUUGACAUCGGCAUUGCCGGAGGCUACGUCUACGGUGCAUAACAUCGUCUUCAUCCCCGACGAAUGCGCAAUCUAAGGGGCUGAAGACGUACUUCAAGAACCAAGAGGAACGAUACAAGCUCCGUUACGAGAAGACUCACUCCCUUGUUCUCCUCCCUUAUUCCCACGUUCUUCUGAAAAUGCAAAGUAUAAGAGAUUCUAUCUUGAAGCAUGUGAGGGUGGGGUUAUCAGUCAAAAGUUGGAUAUUAGCUGACAAUUGGAACAUGCUCAAGCAAUUUAGUCGCAAGAUGUGCUCAUCAACAACAACCAGCCCUGAUCAAAUAAUGGACCGAGUGCUUGACCGUUUAAGAAAUUUGAUAAAACGAUGCUUCUAAGAAAACCGACUCAUGCACAAGCAGCAAGAUAAAAGAGUGUGGUAUACUCUCUUUGAACGAUUUUGGUUUCGCUUAAUUAUUGAUUUGCAGUCUCACCGAUUCUAUAUAGUCCUUUUUAAUUUGCGCCAUAGCGGUUAAUUGGGUGUGCGAAGAAAAAGGCCAUGCUCCAAUGACAUCAGUGGUAUUUUUUAACUCCGUUGAUUUUGUUUUAUAGUAACUUUAUGCUUGUUGAUUUUCUAUGUUAUUCUUUUUCUUUGUUUAGUAUAAAUUAAACUCAUGCAGCUUGUGGAUGCAAAAAUAAUUCCUAAGUCUUCAACAUAACAUCAACGAGGCUGAUGUUUGAAUUAGGAGUAGUGGAGUGGGGCGAGCUAGACAAUCUCUUUCUUUACUGUUUAUGCAGCCAGACAUUAAUGUACAUAAGAUGAGGUAAAAUCUUAUAAAAAUGUUGAAAAGUUCAUCUUUAAUUUGAAAUUAUGCUAGAAACCCUCUGUUGUAUAAUAUAGUUAAUUGUAUAUGACUAUUUAGCAACAAAAAAAAAAAAAAAAAAAUGGGAAACGAGUUUCUGUCUGGUAUACGAGUUUGCUCAUGAGCAAACUCUAUUUAGUAGAAUUUACUCUAUGCUGAUUCCAACCAAGUUUAAAGAGAUUGGUGCAACUUAGGGCGUGCUAUACUUUGAGUUCAUAUUAUAUGUUCUAGUUUCUUGAUUUCCUUUGCCCUUUUUAAAAAAAGAAAUUUGUUUUUCCUUAUUCUGUGUUAAAAAUGGUUGUUCAGUGAUUUUCUUUGUUGAAAGGGUGGCCCCGUUGAAGAUCUUAUGUUGGUGUAAUAGAGGUAUGGAUUUAUUUAUCCCAUUAUGCUUUAAUAGUAUUCUAAUAUAAAAAAUAAUGUGUCCUUUAUUUUUAGUCUAAUUUAUGACAGCUCAAAAUUGUAAUAUACACCAAUCAAAAUAUGAUACUAGAAAUAGAAGAAAAACUAUAUACACAAAACCAAUGCCACAAAUCCAUAGCCAUUAACAAUAUUUAACACAACCAAAUCUGUCACCAUGGAUCCAUGAUAUCACCAACCAUUAAUAUAUUUUUAACGUUAAUCUUUUG